UACGUAGGGUGCAAGCGUUGUCCGGAAUUAUUGGGCGUAAAGAGCUCGUAGGCGGUUCGUCGCGUCGGCUGUGAAAUCCCGGGGCUCAACCCCGGGCCUGCAGUCGAUACGGGCAGACUAGAGUGCGGUAGGGGAGACUGGAAUUCCUGGUGUAGCGGUGAAAUGCGCAGAUAUCAGGAGGAACACCGGUGGCGAAGGCGGGUCUCUGGGCCGUAACUGACGCUGAGGAGCGAAAGCGUGGGGAGCGAACAGG
rnacentral:rRNA from 1 species